rnacentral:piRNA from 1 species
UGUGUGUUUGCGCAAUAUGAAAUCUGAGCAC